ACGCUGGCGGCGUGCUUAACACAUGCAAGUCGAACGAUGAAGCCUAGCUUGCUAGGUGGAUUAGUGGCGAGCGGGUGAGUGAUACGUGAGUAACCUACCUUUAACUCUGGGAUAAGCCUGGGAAACUGGGUCUAAUACCGGAUGCGACCAAUCUCCGCAUGGGGUGUUGGUGGAAAGCGUUAUGUAGUGGUUAUAGAUGGGCUCACGGCCUAUCAGCUUGUUGGUGAGGUAACGGCUCACCAAGGCGACGACGGGUAGCCGGCCUGAGAGGGUGACCGGCCACACUGGGACUGAGACACGGCCCAGACUCCUACGGGAGGCAGCAGUGGGGAAUAUUGCACAAUGGGCGCAAGCCUGAUGCAGCGACGCCGCGUGAGGGAUGACGGCCUUCGGGUUGUAAACCUCUGUUAGCAGGGAAGAAGAGAGAUUGACGGUACCUGCAGAGAAAGCGCCGGCUAACUACGUGCCAGCAGCCGCGGUAAUACGUAGGGCGCGAGCGUUGUCCGGAAUUAUUGGGCGUAAAGAGCUUGUAGGCGGUUUGUCGCGUCUGCUGUGAAAGGCCGGAGCUUAACUCCGUGUAUUGCAGUGGGUACGGGCAGACUAGAGUGCAGUAGGGGAGACUGGAAUUCCUGGUGUAGCGGUGGAAUGCGCAGAUAUCAGGAGGAACACCGAUGGCGAAGGCAGGUCUCUGGGCUGUAACUGACGCUGAGAAGCGAAAGCAUGGGGAGCGAACAGGAUUAGAUACCCUGGUAGUCCAUGCCGUAAACGUUGGGCACUAGGUGUGGGGGACAUUCCACGUUUUCCGCGCCGUAGCUAACGCAUUAAGUGCCCCGCCUGGGGAGUACGGCCGCAAGGCUAAAACUCAAAGAAAUUGACGGGGGCCCGCACAAGCGGCGGAGCAUGCGGAUUA
rnacentral:rRNA from 1 species